rnacentral:rRNA from 1 species
AUUGAACGCUGGCGGCAUGCUUUACACAUGCAAGUCGAACGGCAGCGCGGGCUUCGGCCUGGCGGCGAGUGGCGAACGGGUGAGUAAUACAUCGGAACGUGCCCAGUAGUGGGGGAUAGCUCGGCGAAAGCCGGAUUAAUACCGCAUACGACCUGAGGGUGAAAGCGGGGGAUCUUCGGACCUCGCGCUAUUGGAGCGGCCGAUGGCAGAUUAGCUAGUUGGUGGGGAAAAGGCCUACCAAGGCGACGAUCUGUAGCUGGUCUGAGAGGACGACCAGCCACACUGGGACUGAGACACGGCCCAGACUCCUACGGGAGGCAGCAGUGGGGAAUUUUGGACAAUGGGCGAAGGCCUGAUCCAGCAAUGCCGCGUGUGUGAUGAAGGCCUUCGGGUUGUAAAGCACUUUUGGCGGGAACGAAAAGGACUGUGCCAAUACCACGGUUCGAUGACGGUACCCGCAGAAUAAGCACCGGCUAACUACGUG